CCUACGGGAUGCAGCAGUGGGGAAUAUUGCACAAUGGGCGCAAGCCUGAUGCAGCCAUGCCGCGUGUAUGAAGAAGGCCUUCGGGUUGUAAAGUACUUUCAGCGGGGAGGAAGGUGUUGAGGUUAAUAACCUUGUCGAUUGACGUUACCCGCAGAAGAAGCACCGGCUAACUCCGUGCCAGCAGCCGCGGUAAUACGGAGGGUGCAAGCGUUAAUCGGAAUUACUGGGCGUAAAGCGCACGCAGGCGGUCUGUCAAGUCGGAUGUGAAAUCCCCGGGCUCAACCUGGGAACUGCAUUCGAAACUGGCAGGCUAGAGUCUUGUAGAGGGGGGUAGAAUUCCAGGUGUAGCGGUGAAAUGCGUAGAGAUCUGGAGGAAUACCGGUGGCGAAGGCGGCCCCCUGGACAAAGACUGAAGCUCAGGUGCGAAAGCGUGGGGAGCAAACAGGAUUAGAUACCCUUGUAGUC
rnacentral:rRNA from 1 species